UAAAGAUACUUCCGUACCGAAAGGGCGGCUCGGUGAGAACCACGGAGAGCUGAGAUGC
rnacentral:ncRNA from 1 species